rnacentral:rRNA from 1 species
AUUGAACGCUGGCGGCAUGCCUUACACAUGCAAGUCGAACGGCAGCACGGGAGCAAUCCUGGUGGCGAGUGGCGAACGGGUGAGUAAUAUAUCGGAACGUGCCCAGUCGUGGGGAUAACGUAGCGAAAGCUACGCUAAUACCGCAUACGAUCUAUGGAUGAAAGCGGGGGAUCGCAAGACCUCGCGCGAUUGGAGCGGCCGAUAUCAGAUUAGGUAGUUGGUGAGGUAAAGACUCACCAAGCCGACGAUCUGUAGCUGGUCUGAGAGGACGACCAGCCACACUGGGACUGAGACACGGCCCAGACUCCUACGGGAGGCAGCAGUGGGGAAUUUUGGACAAUGGGCGCAAGCCUGAUCCAGCAAUGCCGCGUGCAGGAUGAAGGCCUU